GUUUGAUCAUGGCUCAGAUUGAACGCUGGCGGAAUGCUUUACACAUGCAAGUCGAACGGCAGCACGGGGGCAACCCUGGUGGCGAGUGGCGAACGGGUGAGUAAUACAUCGGAACGUGCCCAGUCGUGGGGGAUAACGUAGCGAAAGCUACGCUAAUACCGCAUACGAACUGAGGUUGAAAGCGGGGGAUCGCAAGACCUCGCGCGAUUGGAGCGGCCGAUGGCAGAUUAGGUAGUUGGUGGGGUAAAGGCCUACCAAGCCGACGAUCUGUAGCUGGUCUGAGAGGACGACCAGCCACACUGGGACUGAGACACGGCCCAGACUCCUACGGGAGGCAGCAGUGGGGAAUUUUGGACAAUGGGCGCAAGCCUGAUCCAGCCAUUCCGCGUGCAGGAUGAAGGCCCUCGGGUUGUAAACUGCUUUUGUACGGAACGAAACGCCUUGGGUUAAUACCCUGGGGUAAUGACGGUACCGUAAGAAUAAGCACCGGCUAACUACGUGCCAGCAGCCGCGGUAAUACGUAGGGUGCAAGCGUUAAUCGGAA
rnacentral:rRNA from 1 species